rnacentral:misc_RNA from 1 species
GGGCAAUCCCGUCUGCAUCUAAAAGUGGAACAGUAGGGCAUCUGUUAUCUUCCACUUCUGGACCCCACAAACAUUUUCACUUUUCUUCAACCCCCUCUCGAGAAAGUAGGAAACAUAACUAUCCAUUUAUUUCUAGUGAAGCUUCUGCAGCAACCUGCCAAUCUUCACUCUCAAACAUUCAUUCGACAUCAUUGGAUAAUUACCCCAUGGAGAACAGCAAUAAUUCCUGGGGCGAAGAUGCAUAUCAUGACUGUAUAAAUUUUUCUACUAAUGUUCCUGUUCAGAAUGACCAAG